rnacentral:rRNA from 1 species
UGGGGAAUCUUGCGCAAUGGGCGAAAGCCUGACGCAGCAACGCCGCGUGGAGGACGAAGGCUUUCUGAGUUGUAAACUCCUUUCAGCAGGGACGAUAGUGACGGUACCUGCAGAAGAAGCACCGGCCAACUACGUGCCAGCAGCCGCGGUGAUACGUAGGGUGCAAGCGUUGUCCGGAUUUAUUGGGCGUAAAGGGCUCGUAGGCGGUUUGAUAAGUCGGGUGUGAAACCUCCAGGCUCAACCUGGAGCCGCCACUCGAUACUGUCAUGACUAGAAUUCGGUAGGGGACCACGGAAUUCCUGGUGUAGCGGUGAAAUGCGCAGAUAUCAGGAGGAACACCAGCAGCGAAGGCGGUGGUCUGGGCCGACAUUGACGCUGAGGAGCGAAAGCGUGGGGAGCGAACAGGAUUAGAUACCCUGGUAGUCCACGCCGUAAACGUUGGGCACUAGGUGUGGGGACUAUUCAACGGUCUCCGUGCCGCAGCUAACGCAUUAAGUGCCCCGCCUGGGGAGUACGGUCGCAAGGC